rnacentral:rRNA from 1 species
CGGGGUGAGUAAUGUCUGGGAAACUGCCUGAUGGAGGGGGAUAACUACUGGAAACGGUAGCUAAUACCGCAUAACGUCGCAAGACCAAAGUGGGGGACCUUCGGGCCUCAUGCCAUAAGAUGUGCCCAGAUGGGAUUAGCUAGUAGGUGGGGUAACGGCUCACCUAGGCGACGAUCCCUAGCUGGUCUGAGAGGAUGCCAGCCACACUGGAACUGAGACACGGUCCAG